rnacentral:ncRNA from 1 species
AAGGAUACAAGCAGCCCAUGACCUGGUCAAACAACAAUUAGCAGAAGGACAUAUACAACCUUCUGUAUCUCCCCAUAAUACUCCCGUUUUUGUCAUCAAAAAGAAAUUUGGUAAAUGGAGAUUAUUGCAAGAUUUAAGAGCCAUUAAUAAUGACAUGGUUAUUAUGGGACCUGCUCAAUCGGGGAUGCCUCAAUUGUCUGCUUUGCCAAAAACCUGGUAUUUUUUAGUUAUAGAUAUUAAAGAUUGUUUUUUUUUUCAAUUCCAAUUCAUCCUGAGGAUAGUCCACGUUUUGCAUUUAC